rnacentral:rRNA from 1 species
UACGAAGGGCCCGAGCGUUGAUCGGAUUCACUGGGCUUAAAGGGUGCGUAGGCGGAACGGUAAGUACCUCGUGAAAUCCCACGGCUCAACCGUGGAACUGCGGGGUAUACUGUCGUUCUUGAGGUCGGUAGGGGCUGUCGGAACUGUAGGUGUAGCGGUGAAAUGCGUAGAUAUCUACAGGAACGCCAAUGGCGAAGGCAGACAGCUGGGCCGAUUCUGACGCUGAGGCACGAAAGCGUGGGGAGCAAACAGG